UAUGCAGUACAGCUGGUGAUGGAGGACUUUCCCCGGCAGAACAUAACUCUGACUCAAACCGAUGGGACACAGCCUAAUCUAACUACCAAUAAUGCUAUUGGCAAAAUACUGGUCCAGUUUGUUUUAAGGGUGGAUUCUCCAGUGCCAUCCUGCACAGAAGGACUCUUUCUGCCACUAUUCCUGCCUCCAAGUCCAGCCAACGGAGCUCAGCUAUAUACCCCUGUAGGACAAACCCUGGAAAUCAGCAUCAAAGCAGAGGCGACAAAUUCCACUAGAGCGGGACAUUUGAUUUACUCUCAGCGGAAUUGACCGGAGAAGGCAUCAGUUCAUGCACUGCAUUGGCCCGCACCACAAUUAGUAUAAGGCCCAGGUGCAGUUCACGGACGGAUGGGUACAGGACCUAGAAAUGCACCGUGUUGAGCACAAGACCAUCGUACGCACAACGACCACAUUUGGUUACUACCAUCCACCCAUCAAUACACCAAAUCCCCUGUACACGUAUAGUGACUCAGAGGAUGAGCAGCCCACAAAAAAAAGGUUUCCCCAGGCCCCUCGAGUGAAAAUACCAGCCCUCAACGCUUGCAGUCUUCCCCCAGCCCACUGACAGCAGACAUCAUAAUGCCCCUCCCAGCUUCCGGCACCUUUCGCCACUCCGGGAGAACAUUCCGAACGACACACCUUUACAAUCUCCCCAGCAUGCAGAGUCUGAUGUAGAGGCCUUCCCUAUAGAUGAUUCCAGAGACUCUGUGAGGCCACUAUUACAAGAUGCGACCGCACAAAAGAUUUUAACAAUGCUGUCAGACCUGACGAGAUCUGUCAACGAACUGCGUGAGGAGGUCAGAGCCAUCCGCAAUACCGGCUCAAAUGAAUCUCUAGAUGCUGGGGUACUCCCUUUGGAUUUGCCCUUAAACAGCAUUGAGGAGCUAAACCAUAUAGAGGCACCUCUUACGUCGCAAGAGGCAAUUAAGGCAAUGGUGAGACGCUUUGCCUUAAUUGGAGGGACCACACUUGAGGUGCGAGUCCACCGUGUAAUGGCUUAUGCCAUUACAAAUGAGCUGGCCUCACUGCUAAACUGGGCAGGGAAAAAAACAAAGGACCACACGAAGCAAAAAAGGGCAUUUAAAGAUACUGCGCUGUGCAGAUGCAUAUUUGAUGGCCUGACGCAGCAGUUAGGGGCAAACUCGAUGUCAGAGUUUCUCUUUGCACAGGCAGUGCAGAAGUGGCUAC
ensembl:lncRNA